GCUCCGGUGGCCUAGUCACUAGUGGGUAGAACGUCCGCCUCAGAUGCGGUAGGUCGUGGGUUCGAUCCCCGGCCAAGAAUU